UGGCGAACGGGUGAGUAACGCGUGAGGAACCUGCCUCAAAGAGGGGGACAACAGUUGGAAACGACUGCUAAUACCGCAUAAGCCCACGGGUCGGCAUCGACCUGAGGGAAAAGGAGCAAUCCGCUUUGAGAUGGCCUCGCGUCCGAUUAGCUAGUUGGUGAGGUAAUGGCCCACCAAGGCGACGACCGGUAGCCGGACUGAGAGGUUGAACGGCCACAUUGGGACUGAGACACGGCCCAG
rnacentral:rRNA from 1 species